rnacentral:rRNA from 1 species
AGAGUUUGAUCCUGGCUCAGAUUGAACGCUGGCGGCAUGCCUUACACAUGCAAGUCGAACGGCAGCACGGGAGCAAUCCUGGUGGCGAGUGGCGAACGGGUGAGUAAUACAUCGGAACGUGUCCUGUAGUGGGGGAUAGCCCGGCGAAAGCCGGAUUAAUACCGCAUACGAUCUGUGGAUGAAAGCGGGGGAUCUUCGGACCUCGCGCUACAGGGGCGGCCGAUGGCAGAUUAGCUAGUUGGUGGGGUAAAGGCCUACCAAGGCGACGAUCUGUAGCUGGUCUGAGAGGACGACCAGCCACACUGGGACUGAGACACGGCCCAGACUCCUACGGGAGGCAGCAGUGGGGAAUUUUGGACAAUGGGCGAAAGCCUGAUCCAGCAAUGCCGCGUGUGUGAAGAAGGCCUUCGGGUUGUAAAGCACUUUUGUCCGGAAAGAAAACCUCGUGGUUAAUACCCGUGGGGGAUGACGGUACCGGAAGAAUAAGCACCGGCUAACUACGUGCCAGCAGCCGCGGUAAUACGUAGGGUGCAAGCGUUAAUCGGAAUUACUGGGCGUAAAGCGUGCGCAGGCGGUUCGCUAAGACAGAUGUGAAAUCCCCGGGCUUAACCUGGGAACUGCAUUUGUGACUGGCGGGCUAGAGUAUGGCAGAGGGGGGUAGAAUUCCACGUAGCAGUGAAAUGCGUAGAGAUGUGGAGGAAUACCGAUGGCGAAGGCAGCCCCCUGGGCCAAUACUGACGCUCAUGCACGAAAGCGUGGGGAGCAAACAGGAUUAGAUACCCUAGUAGUCC